rnacentral:pre_miRNA from 1 species
GUGAGGCUCGAGUGCAGACACUAUUCAAGUGUGGGCGGGGGGAGCGGGAGUGACAGAAGAGAGUGAGCACGGUUGCGCCUGUACGAGGAUAACGUACUUGCUCAAGUGUGCUCACUCUCUUCAUGUCGCGCCUCUCCCUCGUCGUUGUGACGUCAUUUGUGAUGAGAGGGUGGGGAGGGGGGUGUGUGAGGGAGGAGGAGGGGAGGUGAAGGGUGUGGUG